rnacentral:piRNA from 1 species
UGUGUCAGGGGAAAUAGAACA